rnacentral:lncRNA from 1 species
GAUUGUGAGAGUCUGAGGACACGAGUUCAUAGCACUGCAGUUCAAGUAAGUUGAAAUUUCAUCACCUCCUUUUGCCAAUUUCUUGAUAUGAUUGUGUAGAUCUUGCUUUGCUAAACAUGCUGAUAGGAUUAGAUUCGAAAAUGGAUGAGAAAUGAGUAUGUUAUGUGAACUUUCAGUUUUGCUGAUGAAAAUGUUUUUGCUCGAUCCAUAAAACCUAGCCUGAAUUAG